GGUAGCAGGAAACAGAAACCGCCGCCGGCGAGGCUGAACCGAAACCUGCCGAGUGCGCGGAGUGCGGCGCCCGGUUGCGGGCCGCGCAAAGGCGGGUUUCUGCGGCUGCCGAGGCCCCGCGUGCUCCCGAGACGCUUCCCGGGAUGGGGCGGGUGAGGGGUUGCCUGGUGUUCUGUGUGGCCUAAGCUCGCUUUUAGGACCGGCGACAAUCUAAGCAAACAUCCUACAUUGCGUGUGACAGACGAGGAAACUGAGGUUCGGCCAGGAGCAGGCCCCCCCUCGCCGAUCGGCAGUGCCGUGGGUUAUGAUGGAGGGAAGGCGACCUCACCACUGCCGGAGCUGAGUUACCUGUGAGUCCUCCUCUUCCUCCCUGGGAGACUCUCCCCUCUCCUGUGGCUUCACUGCGUGGGACACAGAGAACACUGAGACCUGGAGGGAAACCUCGUGGGCACCGAGCUCGGGUGCUCAUCUGUCCCCUGUUCCUCCCCUCGCUCCCACCUCCCACCUGGCUGGGCUGCCUUAGCCACCUGGGGCAACGGGGUGGACGCAGGAGUCUCUGUCUUUCCCCUUUGUCUCUAAAAGGAAAAUCCUGAUUCUCUUUAUCUACAGUGCCGAGAUUGAAUUUUCUUUAUUCAUUAAAAUAUUUGUGAGUGUUUAUUAUUUCCUUCUAAUGUCUGUGAUUUGGUCUUUGAUCUGCAUUGAGACAAACCCACGACAGAGACGCCUGUGUCGUGGGAUUGUAGCCGUGGCCACUGUGGUGGGUGAUGAGAGCAUCCACGUGGACACGUGCUGGGCCUUUCCUGUCUCAGAAUUGCUUCUGCCAUCCUUCUAAGCAGCUGGGAAUCAGUGAACAUUUUGACACAAAUCAUGCAUGAUCAAGCAUUUCAUCCUUACGUGUUCUGAGACUAUGUAUAUUGAUGUAUUUUGUUUUGUUGGUGUUUGAGAUAGGGCCUCACUGUGCAAUCCUGGCCAGCCUCAAACUCAUAGCUGUCUUCCUGGCUCAGCCUCCUGAGUGGUGGGAUUACAGAUGUGUGCCACCACACCCAGCAUGGUUUAUCUAUUUCAACUUUGUGCCUGUACCUUUUACAAAACACCAAGGCAAUCCAGUGAAAUAAAAAGUUUGUUUCUA